ACCAAGUACCAAAGUUCCGCAAGAGGAGCAAGACAGCAACUCCAAUAAGUGUCUGCUCAGGACACAGCUUCAGCCCUUUGUGGUCUGCUGUCUCCCAAGGGCUCCAGGACCUUUGGAAUUCUUGUCACUUCCAUUCAAGGGCCUACAAGGACCUCACGGUGAGUAGCCAGGCAGUAGAUGGGAGCAAUGGGGUUGUGAGGCAAAGACAGGAACCCCUUCCAGGUCUGUUUGACCCAUUUCCCCUUAAUCCUGGGAGAGCACGGAUUCUCAGAGCACCUGUCAGGCAGUUACCUACAGAUCAUGGAUCGGUUGUGUUCUCUGAUUAGCUUUCUGGGAUAUCAAAUUCCAAAACAUUAGACUAUCUAUUCUCAUUUAGAACACCUCCACACCCCUAGGGAGUCUUGGAACAAGUGUCAGGGGAUAAUGAAACAGUAAAUCCAGAUCCAUGGUUGGCUCAAGUCAGGCCUUAAGAACAGGGAGAUGGACACACGUAUAUUAUCAGAAAGGGUAAACACAGCCAGAAUUUGACCAGCCUGGCUCAGGCUGGCAUCCUGGUGUGAGCCAAGAAUUGCUCUGAACUCAAUCACGCAAGGGAUCUGCUGUGCCUAGAUAAUAAGUGAGGGGCAUUACAUGCCCAUCUUGGGCCUUUAGAAUGGCCUUUCAGCAAACAGGCUUGUUUUUCAAGGCAUACUAACACCUUCAGGCUCUGUUGGCUGUUGAUAGGGUCAGCACACAGGCCUGUUUCCUGCUAUUGGCAAAGGAGACAGUUGUUAUUCUAAACCUUCUUCUGGUAACCAGGCACCCAGUCGCUGGACACCAGGCUUCCUGCAAAGGCCAGCUUGAGGCAGCCAGCACUGCCGCUUGGCUGGUCAGCAAAUUGGGCCCCUUGGGAGACCAAGCUUUCUUGGAAGUGGACAUGAAGCAUGUACCCUUUGCCUGCUUGCCUCUUCCUAUUGCUGGGUGAUUUUUCUGCCUUUCUCAAACCCUGGGUCUGGAGCAGGAAUUCAGUUUCCUGGUAGGAGCCUCUAUGUCCCUGGAACAAGAUAGGCCAGCUUAGCUUCUCCACAUCCAAGAUUGAGCACCCUGACUCAGGGCUGUGGGGGAUGUGGUGCGGUGGCGGUGGGGGUGGGGCAUAGCUCAGCUCAGUCAGUGGCAGAGUGCUUGCCUAGCAUACUCAACACCCUGGGUUUUAUCCCUAGCACCUAAAGAUAAAAAUAAGACGGGCUGGAGAGAUGGCUCGGUGGUUAAGAACACUGGCUGCUCUUCCAGAGGACCUGGGUUCAAUCCCAGCCCCCACGUGGCAGCUCAUUACUGCCCUCGGCUCCAGUUCCAGGGGAUCCGACACCUUCACACAGAUACCAUGACACAUAAAAUUAAAUUUUUUUUUUAAAGCAAAGUAGAAAUAAGAGUAACCGACUCAUGCCAGGCAUGGAGACACAUGCCUUUGAUGACAGCACUAGGAAUGCAGAGGCACAAAGAUCUAUUUAUCUAUGAGUUUUAGGCCAGCCAGGGCAACAUAGUGAGACCCUGUCUCAAAAGG
rnacentral:lncRNA from 1 species